AUGAUGCUACGCUACUCUAGUACCCCCUCCGUCCGAAAAAACUUGCCCCUCAAAUGGUGGUGCUAUAUACAUCCAUUUGAGGAACAAGCUUGGGACAAGUUUUUCCGGACGGAGGGAUUAGUAGCAACAGAAUGGGCGAAAAACGCCAGCUUAGUUCCUUUCAGUAACCAAGGGGGUCAAAUGCUUAGCAAGGACGAAAUGAACGCCACCCCACCGAUUUGCUUGGCAGUGUACCUGAUGGCAGGCGAACAUCAUCCGAGCUUCUCCAGUUCCCUUUCCUUUGGCAUUCAACUUGUUUCUUGUGCUUGCAACAAACCCAGAGCAGGAGCCAGAUCUCCGGUCGCGGUUCAUGGUCAAAGCUUCCACGCCACUUCAAUUAACCCCUUCCCUGAUAAUGCGCUUUCAUCAAAGAGAUAA
rnacentral:rRNA from 1 species